rnacentral:rRNA from 1 species
AGGCUACUGCUAUUGGAAUUCGACUAAGCCAUGCGAGUCAAGGUGUCUUCGGACGCCGGCAAACGGCUCAGUAACACGUAGGUAAUCUACCCUCAGGACUGAGAUAACCCCGGGAAACUGGGGCUAAUACCAGAUAGAUAAAAGAUACUGGAAUGUUCUUUUAUCCAAAGCUUUUGUGCCUGAGGAUGAGCCUGCGCCCGAUUAGGUAGUUGGUGGGGUAAUGGCCCACCAAGCCUGCGAUCGGUACGGGCAGUGGGAGCUGUAGCCCGGAGUUGGGGACUGAGACAAGGCCCCAGGCCCUACGGGGCGCAGCAGGCGCGAAACCUCUGCAAUGCGGGAAACCGUGACAGGGGGAUUCCAAGUGCUCAUGCAUUGCAUGGGCUGUUCUUUGGUCUAAGUAACCAGAGGAGUAAGGGCUGGGCAAGACCGGUGCCAGCCGCCGCGGUAAUACCGGCGGCUCGAGUGGUGGCCACUAUUACUGGGCUUAAAGCGUCCGUAGCUUGGUUGUUAAGUCUCCUGGGAAAUCCAUCGGCUCAACCGAUGGGCGUUCAGGAGAUACUGGCAACCUAGGGACCGGGAGAGGUGAGAGGUACUCCAGGGGUAGGAGUGAAAUCCUGUAAUCCUUGGGGGACCACCUGUGGCGAAGGCGUCUCACUAGAACGGCUCCGACAGUGGGGGACGAAAGCUGGGGGAGCAAACCGGAUUAGAUACCCGGGUAGUCCCAGCUGUAAACGAUGCGCGUUAGGUGUAUCGGUGACCACGAGUCACCGAGGUGCCGAAGGGAAACCGUGAAACGUGCCGCCUGGGAAGUACGGUCGCAAGGCUGAAACUUAAAGGAAUUGGCGGGGGAGCACCACAACAGGUGGAGCCUGCGGUUUAAUCGGACUCAACGCCGGGAAGCUCACCGGAUAAGACAGCUGAAUGAUAGCCGGGUUGAAGACUCUGCUUGACUAGCUGAGAGGAGGUGCAUGGCCGUCGUCAGUUCGUACUGUGAAGCAUCCUGUUAAGUCAGGCAACGAGCGAGACCCACGCCAACAGUUGCCAGCAUGUCCUCCGGGAUGGUGGGGACACUGUUGGGACCGCCUCUGCUAAAGAGGAGGAAGGAAUGGGCAACGGUAGGUCAGCAUGCCCCGAAUUAUCCGGGCUACACGCGGGCUACAAUGGUCAGGACAAUGGGUAUCAACACCGAAAGGUGAAGGCAAUCUCCUAAACCUGUCCUUAGUUCGGAUUGUGGGCUGCAACUCGCCCACAUGAAGCUGGAAUCUGUAGUAAUCGCGUCUCAAAAUGGCGCGGUGAAUAUGUCCCUGCUCCU